UCAAUCUCAACUGUUGAUUUUCCACCAUCUAAUGGCUGUGAACUGAUUUCCCACCCCCUUUAUCUCUAUCCCCUAACCCCAAAACUCCCUCCUUUCUCUUUAUCUCUCUCUAAAGCCCUAACCCUAACCGCCCCAAGCUCCCUCAGAACCCUAGCCGCCGUAGAAGAAUCACCACCGGCGAACACUACAAAAAUGGCCCCAAUCCUCCCCAAAUCGACACCUUAUACUCCUCAACCUCUCUUUUACUCAAACCUCAUAUCCAUUUCUUUAUAAUCUCCACCUAUCUUCUCCAAUUUCAGAUCUGAAAAUCCUGAAAAAACUUAAAUCCUGCCUUUUCAAAAUGCUCCUUGACCCGACUCGUUUGAACUCAAAAUCUACAUCAAUUGAUUGCUCUUGAUGAGAUAAAUCAAUUGAUGUUAGUGUCAGUUCAUCCCACGACCAUCGGAGUUUGUUCGGUCACCGGAGUUUGGUCGGAGUUUCAUCGUUUCUCCUUGGAAGACGAAUAGGUAAUUUCUCUACUUUAUUUUAUGUUUCUUCUUCUUUUUACGUGUUUUACUUUCAACUAAAUGACCCUUUUAUUCCUUCCCAAUUUCUUGUUUGAUUGCCCUAAUGAUUAACAGGUUUAAUUACUCAUUAAGUAUAAAAAUAUAACCUUUAGGUUAUUCGAUUUUAGAUUUGUUUGGACAACUGGAAUAGUUUACUUGAUAAAUUAGGUGUCGGUCUUUUUUUGUUUUUGUUUUUGCAUGAUUUACUUGUCAGUUAAUUACAUGAUUGUUUAGUUUAAUUGUAUGUGUUAGAUUAAUUGAAUCAACUUUAAUUAGUUCAAUAAUCUAGUUUAGGUGAAUUAGUCGUUUGUUUAUGUUUUAUUAUGAUCUUUUAUUUGGUAUUUUCAUAGCUUGAUUGGUGAGAGGAUUUAAGAGGGGUUGAAGGAUAAUUAGCAAAAACUAAAGGGGUCAAAGGGAUUUGAAAAUUUAGGAACCUGAUUUAUUCAUCUGGAGAAGUCUCUAGAAGUGACAAAGUGUAUUAAAAAUCAAAAUUUUAGUAAGAUUUUGGGGUUUAAAAAGUUUUAAAUCAGAAGAAAAAGGGUUAGAAAAAAUGAGUAAAUAUCUGGAUAGGACAAUUGUCCUAACAGCUGCACCAAAAUAUGUUAAAAAGAUGCUUUCUUAUCCUUUUUUACAGCUGAUAUUCCUGAAUUGAUUUUGGAAUAUUCUCUAUCAGACCCUCUCUCAUUCCUAUCCUUGUGCAUUCCUACAUUCUAUAUAAAGGACCUCACACUUACUCAAACACACAUGUUAUCAUCAAGAUAUUCACUCUAAAAUGCAUCUUUGAAAAAAAUCAAGGAAUUCUAGGAAAAAAUUCUUCAUUUCACACCGAUUUCUAACCUUUUCUUGGGUCUCAAAGUAGGUUUAGAAAUAGAAAAUAGUUCUCUGUUGUUGCUGGGUCACUAUUUCUGCUAUUAAAGGGUUGAUUUCAGUUCAAUGUACUCUUAUUUUUGUUGUUGCUCUGUUGCUACUGUUGUUCUAUUCUGCUUCUACACCUUAUCAAUUUCAUCUUUAUUUUCUUUGUUUGAUUCUGCUGUAAAUAGGUAUGGGUUAAACACCUACUUUACCUUUGGAUUAUGUAUGUGAAAGUUUGGAAGCCAUCUGGUGAACUGCAGCCAUGAAGUUUUGUUUUUGUUCUGUUUGUCUUUGAUGUUACUAUUCUGUUUUGUCGUGUAAUUUACUCUUUUGUCAUGUAAUUUAGUCAUGCUACUAUUCUGUUUUUGUCUAUUAUAAAUGCAACUUUUGUUAUAUGUUCAGUUUUUACGCAGUAGUAUUCACUGAUUUUUAAGAAUGUAUGAAUUGGAUUUUAAGAAUGUUCAAUCACUAAACAAUGUUCAAAUUUAUCGCCUCAGAAUUCAAGUAAUGAUAAGUUGUUUAAGUUGUCUGUAAUAGUAGCUAUUUAGUACUUGUGCUUUUUCACAAGUCUUGUCUUGUCUCAUAUUGAGGGAGUUGCAUGAUUCUUAGGUUUGUGAAAUUGUUCUGUCC
rnacentral:lncRNA from 1 species